UGGGGAAUCUUCCGCAAUGGGCGAAAGCCUGACGGAGCAACGCCGCGUGAGUGAAGAAGGUUUUCGGAUCGUAAAGCUCUGUUGUCAGGGACGAGAGAGUCUGUCAGGAAAUGGGCAGGCUAGGACGGUACCUGGCGAGAAAGCCACGGCUAACUACGUGCCAGCAGCCGCGGUAAUACGUAGGUGGCGAGCGUUGUCCGGAAUUAUUGGGCGUAAAGGGAGCGCAGGUGGGAAAGUAAGUCAGUCUUAAAAGUGCGGGGCUCAACCCCGUGAGGGGAUUGAAACUACUUUUCUUGAGUGCAGGAGAGGAAAGCGGAAUUCCUAGUGUAGCGGUGAAAUGCGUAGAUAUUAGGAGGAACACCAGUGGCGAAGGCGGCUUUCUGGACUGUAACUGACACUGAGGCUCGAAAGCGUGGGGAGCGAACAGGAUUAGAUACCCUGGUAGU
rnacentral:rRNA from 1 species